UCCCAUCUCUCACGUUCGGUUCUCCCCUCCCCCGCCGUCGCAAUCUGCCCCACCGCGCCCCGCCCCUCCCAUCGCUGCGAUCUGCUUCGCCGGACCACACCGCUCCCUUCCACCGCCGCGAUCUUCCCUCUCCCAUCUCCACACCGGUUCUUUCUCCCCCAAAAUUCCCAAAUCCUAAUUUCACACUCUCAUCUCCCGCUUCGAUUCGCUGCAGUCCGGUCCUUUGAGGCGCGACAAGACCCCGUCGCACCGCCUUCAGCCGCCCCUGCGCCGCCCUGCCCGUCGCGACCAGAGCAGUCCGCCAGUUGCGCGCCAGGUAGGAUUCUAAUUGUUGGAUUCUCCAAUGGAAUAUGCGAACCCCCAGUUUCCAUCUUGAGGUCUAAUUCCAAUUCCACCAACCACAAAUUCUGCCCCGAAUCGUCCGAUAGAUCCUACACCAGCAUCGGUUCAUCUAGCGUCGGCGCCACCUUCAAUUCGAAAACGGUUCAAUUUUGACAACUUCCGACUGCUGUCUCUCCAACUACUUCUCCGGGCUGGAUUGAAUAUUGAAGAUACGAGGGAAGAGGAAGAAAAGGAACUGCAUUCCGUGUUUUCUCUUAGAAGAGAGUCUCGGUCCUCGAUCCGUUUCAUAGGUUACAGCAGGGCUCUUCAUGACAACAAUUUAUAUGGGGCAAUUUCUCCAGAGCUGGGAAACUGUACACAGUUGCAGUCAGUCGCCGUCAAUGACUGCUCCGCCGGUUAGCUUUGAAUUGGUUCUUGAUCAGCCAUGGUAAUGAUAGAAUGGACACAGCACAAUGGAGGGCAGCAAAGAGUCCUGUUUAUUAAAAGAGGAGAUUAUGUUCCAGGGUUUGAAGGUUUCCCCUGGAAUUCGGAGGAGUACCCACUCUGGUUCAUCGUUGGUGGCCUUGUGACUUGGCAGCGGCAACAUUGAGCUUUGGAAUCCUAAGCCCCUGAGCUUUGAAAUUUUUUGUUUCUCUUUUAUUGAAAUGUCUCCAAUUUUUUUAUUUUUUUUAAUUUCUCAUUUUCGUUUUGUAGUUUUUUUACUUUUAUUAAUGUCAAUAACUGAACAAAAAGGAGCAGUGGGAAGAAGGUAUGAAAAACAAGAAAAAAAAAUGGAUACUUUAUUUUGA